rnacentral:rRNA from 1 species
GGACAACCUGCCCUCGGGAGGGGGAUAACCCCGGGAAACUGGGGCUAAACCCCCAUAGGUGAUGGAUACUGGAAUGUUCCAUCACCGAAAGUCCGCAAGGAGCCCGAGGAUGGGUCUGCGGCGGAUUAGGUAGUUGGUGGGGUAACGGCCCACCAAGCCUAAGAUACGUACGGGCCAUGGGAGUGGGAGCCCGGAGAUGGACCCUGAGACAAGGGUCCAGGCCCUACGGGGCGCAGCAGGCGCGAAACCUCCGCAAUGCGGGAAACCGCGACGGGGUCAGCCGGAGUGCCGAUGCUUGCAUCGGCUGUCGGGGAGCCUAAAAAGCUCCCCAUAGCAAGGGCCGGGCAAGGCCGGUGGCAGCCGCCGCGGUAAUACCGGCGGCCCGAGUGGCGGCCACUAUUAUUGGGCUUAAAGCGUCCGUAGCCGGGUUGGUUAGUCUCCCGGGAAAUCUGGCCGCUUAACGGUCAGAAUUCCGGGAGAUACUGCCAGCCUAGGGACCGGGAGAGGCCGAGGGUAUUCCCGGAGUAGGGGUGAAAUCCUAUAAUCCCGGGAGGACCACCUGUGGCGAAGGCGCUCGGCUGGAACGGGUCCGACGGUGAGGGACGAAGGCCAGGGGAGCAAACCGGAUUAGAUACCCGGGUAGUCCUGGCUGUAAACGAUGCGGACUUUGUGUCGGACAAGCUAUGAGCUUGUCCGGUG